rnacentral:rRNA from 1 species
ACGAGCGGCGGACGGGUGAGUAAUGUCUGGGAAACUGCCUGAUGGAGGGGGAUAACUACUGGAAACGGUAGCUAAUACCGCAUAACGUCUUCGGACCAAAGAGGGGGACCUUCGGGCCUCUUGCCAUCAGAUGUGCCCAGAUGGGAUUAGCUAGUAGGUGAGGUAAUGGCUCACCUAGGCGACGAUCCCUAGCUGGUCUGAGAGGAUGACCAGCCACACUGGAACUGAGACACGGUCCAGACUCCUACGGGAGGCAGCAGUGGGGAAUAUUGCACAAUGGGCGCAAGCCUGAUGCAGCCAUGCCGCGUGUAUGAAGAAGGCCUUCGGGUUGUAAAGUACUUUCAGCGAGGAGGAAGGCAUUGUGGUUAAUAACCGCAGUGAUUGACGUUACUCGCAGAAGAAGCACCGGCUAACUCCGUGCCAGCAGCCGCGGUAAUACGGAGGGUGCAAGCGUUAAUCGGAAUUACUGGGCGUAAAGCGC